UCUCCCUUCUGCAGGGCUGCGGUCGGCGCCAGGCUCAGGACACCUUACCUCUCCCCUGCCACUCCCGAUGUUCAGGAAGCACACGCUCGGGAUGGCGGCUGGAGACUUCGGCCAGCCCCUGCAGGUAGACAGCUGUGAUGACUGUGUCCUUUGCCGUUGGUCUCAGCACUGAUGGAAAGGUCCAUUUUAACCACAGGCCAAACACGGGUUUUGAAAGUGCCCGUGAACCGCCCCUCCCCUGGGCCCUGCUCAGGAUGCCCUGGCUCUGCCCUCACUGCUAGUUCCAGCCCGGCCCAGGACCACGGGAGACACUCCCUGCCCAACGUGGCAGCUGGCAGAGGAGCUCAUCAGCCUCACCACUGUGAGCAGAUUCCGAGUGAAGGAGCGCGGUGCCACUGGAGGGAUCUGAGUGGCUAAGGAAACACCACGGAAAAGGCCAGCCAAUGGCAGAGACCACCAAGGAGUCUGCGAGGGCCUCCGCCUUGAUCUUCAUUUCCCACUUCGCUGAUCCGCACGUUGAUCAGCUUUUCACUCUCCUCUUGCUUGGGUUUGUCUUUAUUAGAUCACAUAGAUUUCCUUGCGCCCUUGUUCCGACCAUUUCCCUCCACCCGGAGAGAAAUGGACCUUGUAUGCAGCCCCACGUCACACAGCCCAGAAGGGCCAGGUGAGCGCCAUGGUGUGCCACAUCAGGGAGGAGAGCAGUUGAGCACCAGCGGGAAGGACAGAGCCAGGGCGCAGCUCUCCCCUGAGCCAGGCGCCUGCUGUGCUGUGCGGCACCCUCACGACCUCUGGGAUGCCCAGAGAGCUGCAGCUGCUGCCUGGGAGAAGAACAGGCAGCAGACCCCACCCUGUCUCAGAUGGGCUUCCCAUGUGCUGUCUGCCUCACCCUUCCAAUGCUGGGACAAACCCAUGAGACAGUACGUCCUUGGCCUCAGGAGGAAAUGAGUCUGGAGAAGUUUGGUGCCCCUUCUGGGUAGCAUGACUAGACAGAGGACUCUCGGAUGGCGGUGAUGGUGAUGGUGUCCCUGCUGUUUGGACAGCCCUUCUGGAUGCCCACCCUUCAACAGCUCCCCCUUACCCACUUCCCAUGAAUGGCGCUCAGUGGCCAAGCCCCUGGGAAACUCUGAGCCUUCCAUUCCUCAUCCCGACCCGGACUCCUCCAGACCAACCUCACAGCAGCCCAGCUCAUUCCAGGAUGCUCCUCCAUCAUGAUACUUCAAGGGCUGCAGACCCUGGUCAUUUCUCAGAAACUGUAAUCCAACCAAACACUGAGACCUUAC
rnacentral:lncRNA from 1 species